rnacentral:rRNA from 1 species
UACGUAGGGUGCGAGCGUUAAUCGGAAUUACUGGGCGUAAAGCGUGCGCAGGCGGUGAUGUAAGACAGGUGUGAAAUCCCCGGGCUUAACCUGGGAACUGCAUUUGUGACUGCAUCGCUGGAGUGCGGCAGAGGGGGAUGGAAUUCCGCGUGUAGCAGUGAAAUGCGUAGAUAUGCGGAGGAACACCGAUGGCGAAGGCAAUCCCCUGGGCCUGCCACUGACGCUCAUGCACGAAAGCGUGGGAGCAAACAGG